GGGCGAUUAGCUCAGUUGGUAGAGCAGCGCAUUUACACUGCGAAGGUCGGGGGUUCAAGCCCCUCAUCGCCCACCA
rnacentral:tRNA from 1 species